UACGUAGGGAGCGAGCGUUGUCCGAAUUCACUGGGCGUAAAGCGCGCGUAGGCGGAUUAAUAAGUUGAUGGUGAAAUCCCGAGGCUCAACCUCGGAAGUGCCUUCAAAACUGUUAGUCUGGAGGUAUGGAGAGGGAAGUGGAAUUCCUGGUGUAGCGGUGAAAUGCGUAGAUAUCAGGAGGAACACCCGUGGCGAAGGCGGCUUCCUGGCCAUAUCCUGACGCUGAGGUGCGAAAGCGUGGGGAGCAAACAGGAUUAGAUACCCCUGUAGU
rnacentral:rRNA from 1 species